AACACUGGAUCCCCAACCCACUUGAGUGAGGCCAGGAAUUGAACUCGCAUCCUCAUGGAUACUAGUUGGAUUUGGUUCAGCUGUGCCACAAUAGGAACUCCCUGGGACUCUUAAAUUUGAGAUAUUUUCACUGCAGGUUCUCUUUAUUGUGAGUUUUUGUGUUCUUUACCUAUUUAUUUACACGCCAUUAAGUGUUGCACAAAAGGUAGUAUUGCUGGAAUUCUAAAUUUAAUAAGAGAGAGAACUUUGUCUUUGAACCAAAGUAUGCUUCACUGUCCCAUCCCUACUCUGUGCUUAUCUUCUGGCCGAAGACUAAGCUCCAUCAGCUUUCCUGAUUUCCUUGGGUCUCUGGCUCUUAGUCCCACUAAGGUUCAUUCAUAUGGAGCACUUUUGAUGGGCCUUGCACUGAGGCAUGUAUGACAUGACCCCCUUGGUUCAGAAACAGGAUGGCUGUCCUCCUUGGGAUGUCUGGCAGGGCCUGAAGGUGAACAAUCUCCUCAACAAGCAAAAAGGGCAUUUGCUAAAAGGAAAAAAAAGAAUAGAAUAAAAGCAUGAGGGCUAAGGAAUAGUGCUCUCCCCAUAGUACUUUCCCUGAUGAUGGAGAUACUCUGUUUCAGCUAAUACCUUCACUGUGGCUAUUGGGUAUUUGAAAUGUGGUUAGUGAGAUCAAGGAUUGGAAUUUCAAUUUCAUGUAGCUUUCAUUAAUUAGCUUUGAUUUGAUGUAAAUAGCCAUGUGUAGCUAGUGGCUACCCUACUGGACAAGGCAGGUCUAGAAAGAAGUUGUUAAAUGUCUCCAGUUUGUUAUGUUUGUAAUUUAGGAUUUUCUGGAUCCGUAUUUUCUCCCCUUUAGGGAUAAAUGAUAACCUAGAACUACAAGGGUCAGGUUGAUUAUGUUAGAGGAAUGAAAAGAGGGAGAAUAGAGAUAGGCUUAAGGAAUAAAACAACUUUGGGGGGAGGCUAUGGCAGCAGCUAGAAAAAAGAAAGGCAGAAGUAUUAACUAUUUUUGGUGGAAGACAGAGGUAGGAGGAAGAAAGGAGCUUAUAAACCUGCACCUAGGGGCUCAGCCUGCCCACUGCUAGUGGAGCUGAUCCAGGGAGGUCACACUGCACGUCGUGUGAACUCAGUUCUUUGGUUCGUUUGAUCCAAAUUAGCCACUCAUUUAUUUUAAGUAAUACCUUCCAAUUGAAAUACUUAAAUUACCAUGAGUAAAUGAAAUGUGUUUCACAUGGGUUAGCAUAAUCGAGCCUGUUAUUCUUUUUGAAAUUACAAGGGAAAGUCUAAUGCAUGCAUUUACUAAGAACUUGAACCCCAAAACACACUCAAUGGCACUUGGGUGUACACGCACCGCUAAUCUAAACGUACUCCUUUUCUGGAAAUUAGCUAGAUCCUGCCUUAAUUUAUGGACUGAAAAAACAUGCAAGCAAAGAUCCCAGGGAAGUUCUUGCCAUUGCUCUGGAAUGUUUGGUGUCCUUCCCUCAGCUUAGCAGUAGAGGUGCUAACUGCAUUGUAUAACUCAGUCAUUUCCCUCAUGCAUCAUUGAUGCACAUGCGUACCCAUGCUUCUUAGCUGUUUUCAUAAACAUUUGGGUAAAAGAACAGAUAACCUGAGUCUGCUGAGAGCUGACUUUCUUUCAGAAGAAAUAUUAAGUUCCUUCAGACCACAUUUGGCCAAAGGCCUUUUGUCUUCAGAAAAGUAUCAACAUUUACUCUAAAUUAUCAUGGAUCUGCAGGACCUGAAAAAUGCUCUUUGGAAAGUAAAAAGUAAUAAAAAUGUAAAUAAUUCAGAUUUGACUUACAACACUAUUACCAGGGCUUGUUGCCCUGGAGAAAUCAUUAUACUAUUAUAGGGAAACGUGGGAAGAAAUUUGUGAAAAUUCUACGGGUUAAUGAAAAAACACUGACUCACUGAUGUUUAUUUUCAAAAAUGCAAAUAGGUAUAGCAAAUACUCAAAGUAAUAUGCUUUAAUAUAUUGGGGACGUUACAUUGGGUUCUGAAACCCUUCUUUUAGAAGUCAGAAAUUUGCUCAGCAAGCAAGUCUUUAAAGAGCUCAAGAGUUUGGCACUUUAGCAAAUUUCAGCAAAUUAGUGAGAGGAAAAAAAGAGCCAUUCAGAAAAGAAAAACAGAUCUUUUCAAUAAAAUGCUGUUCAGGGGGGCUGGAAAUGUUAACAUCUUUUCUUCUCCAGCCUUUUCAGUUCUUGUGCCAGAAAUUUCUGAGGAUCUAGGUACAUGCGUAGUCAUAUACGUAUAUGUUUCUUAGUGACAUUUGGUGGGUCUGUCCUCCAUGCAUGUGCAGAAAUGUGAAUGAUGUGGUGGGAAAGAUUCAAAAGAACCACAAGAUCAGACUUUCCUCUUUGCACAUGAGAAACUGCAUAUGAAAAUCAUAUUCAUAGACUAAUAUCUAGUGAGAGCCUAUGAAUAGAGAAAAAUCUCUAGGUACAUAAUUAAUGAAGCCUCAUUGAGUACAGGAAUUAAAAGAACUGGGUCAAGUUAAUCAGGGAGAGUUCUUGGGAAGUGAUUUUGAAGCCAAAUUUUAAAGGUAAGAGAGAGUUUAAUGGAACAGUAUGAGAGACUACCUGCCUUGUGGUUGCCCAUCCCCCCUUGCGUGUAACCUGGGGCUUGUAUUUCCGAUGUUGUGCGGGUUAAUGGUAUGACAGAAGCCAGGCCUCAUUACACUGCAGGUGCUGUUGUGCUGAGCUACAGAGCAGGCAGAAGGCCUUCUCUUUGAAUGUCAGGGUCCAAGGCAACGUCAGAUCAGUUGGAAGUACAGAUCCUUCUGAAGAAGAGGCAGUUGAGGGCAGGAAGGCAUGACAUGUGUUUUCAAAGAAAGGAGUUGCUUAAGAGCAGAGGCAUCUUGGAGGCACCAGGAAAGGGAGGAGGUUCCCUUGGAGGAGAGUGGUGCUCUGUAGACCACUGAGGGGUGAGGGAAUGCUAGGGAUCCAGGUGUUCCUUAGAGGCGGGGUGGAAGGCUGUGGCCCACACUGUCUGCUUCUACUCGGAGAAGAUGGUCACUGCUCUCCAGCAGGGGGAAGGGUGUGGAUGGUGGGGUAUGGGGAGAGUGGUGAGGUCAGGCAGUUGUGACAUGGUGUGGCAAGUCCUGUGAUCGCGGGGAGGGAGAAUGUGGUGGGGAUCCAGUGACAUAUUCUGCUGCCUGGAUGUGUGAAGACAGCACAGAGUUCUAAGGGAUGUUUGAUUUUGAAUCCAGCUCUGAAGACUGAGGAGCUGAUUUCCAGGUAGAGAAGCAGGAAGGGCUCUUCAGAUAGUGGGACAAGCUGGGAAGAAAAUAGACAAGCACAGAAGGGUGAUCUCUCCAAAAUCUGCUUCCUUCUCAGGAGGAGGGGGAGAGAAGGAGGCAAUUCUGGCCACCACACUUGUCAAAGCUAAGCAGUGUAAUGACUCCAGCUUCUAAUUUGUAGGAACUCCCUAGGGCAGGAGAAUGUGUUGGGCUAUACCAUCGGUGUGCCAUUGGCAAAAUUCUCUACCCAUCCAACUUCUUGGUAGAAUCUUCAACCAAUAGAUUAUAAGGAAAAGAGAAGAACUGGGUUUUUUGGGCAGGUUUAAGGAGACUUAAAAUAACAUCUUUAUCACUUGAGUGAAAAACAAUAAAGGAACACAAGAAAGGCGGCUACAAAAAUAAGAAUGGUUAAUUACUGCUGGAGGAAGGGAAAAGCUUAUGACUGGGGCACAUGAUGGGACAAAGUUCCAGUUGCUGACCCGAAUAGUAUUAUGAAGGUGUUUGCCUUAAUCAUUCAUUAAGCUAUGCAUUUGUUUUGUGAGGUUUUCUGGAUUUCUGUAGGAAAGUUUUAAAAAUAAAGUCACAAGUGACACUUUUCCAAGAGUCAACUGACUUUCAUGCAGAGAUGGGUAUUAUAUAUAGAAGAGGUCUUUCUGGCACCAACCCCAGCACCUCCUAACCGACCCUGAGCCCGAGCAUUGAUGACAGGGAAAACCGAAUGCUGACGAUGGCGGAGAUCAGCUCGGCCUCACUCUGGUUGCUCAAAGCUCAGGGCUGAAGGUGCAGUGUACUCAGACUAGCAAACCACCAGCUUCUACACUUGCCUGUCCAAAAGCAGCAGCUUAUAUAUAUUU
rnacentral:lncRNA from 1 species